UGGGGAAUAUUGCGCAAUGGGCGAAAGCCUGACGCAGCGACGCCGCGUGAGGGAUGAAGGUCUUCGGAUCGUAAACCUCUGUCAGCAGGGAAGAAAGUUAUAUGUGCUAAUCAGCGUGUAAUUGACGGUACCUGCAAAGGAAGCACCGGCUAACUCCGUGCCAGCAGCCGCGGUAAUACGGAGGGUGCGAGCGUUAAUCGGAAUUACUGGGCGUAAAGCGCUCGUAGGUAGUGUGACAAGUCAAGGGUGAAAUCCCCGUGCUCAACAUGGGAACUGCCUUUGAAACUGUUAUACUUGAGUGUGUGAGAGGAUAGUGGAAUUCCAGGUGUAGGAGUGAAAUCCGUAGAUAUCUGGAGGAACAUCAGUGGCGAAGGCGACUAUCUGGCACAUAACUGACACUGAGGAGCGAAGCGUGGGGUAGCAAACAGGAUUAGAUACC
rnacentral:rRNA from 1 species